rnacentral:rRNA from 1 species
AUUGAACGCUGGCGGCAUGCUUUACACAUGCAAGUCGGACGAGUGGCGAACGGGUGAGUAACGCAUCGGAACGUACCGAGUAAAGGGGGAUAACUACUCGAAAGGGUAGCUAAUACCGCAUACUAUUCGAGCGGCCCAGGUGUGAUUAGCUGGUUGGCGGGGUAAAGGCUCACCUAGGCGACGAUCAGUAGCGGGUCUGAGAGGAUGAUCAGCCACACGGGGACUGAGACACGGUCCAGACUCCUACGGGAGGCAGCAGUGGGGAAUUUUGGACAAUGGGCGCAAGCCUGAUCCAGCCAUGCCGCGUGUCUGAAGAAGGCCUUCGGGUUGUAAAGGACUUUUAUCAGGGAGGCGGUACCUGAAGAAUAAGCACCGGCUAACUACGUGCCAGCAGCCGCGGUAAUAC